GACGAACGCUGGCGGCGCGCCUAACACAUGCAAGUCGAACGGAGAUGCUAGAGGGAAGCCUUCGGGUGGAACAUUGGUAUUCUUAGUGGCGGACGGGUGAGUAACACGUGAGCAACCUGCCUUACAGAGUGGGAUAACGUCUGGAAACGGACGCUAAUACCACAUGACAUUGGUCUAUCGCAUGGUAGAGCAAUCAAAGAUUUUAUCGCUGUAAGAUGGGCUCGCGCCUGAUUAGAUAGUUGGUGGGGUAACGGCCUACCAAGUCGACGAUCAGUAGCCGGACUGAGAGGUUGAACGGCCACAUUGGGACUGAGACACGGCCCAGACUCCUACGGGAGGCAGCAGUGGGGAAUAUUGCACAAUGGGGGAAACCCUGAUGCAGCGACGCCGCGUGAGGGAAGAAGGUUUUCGGAUUGUAAACCUCUGUCUUCAGGGACGAUAAUGACGGUACCUGAGGAGGAAGCUCCGGCUAACUACGUGCCAGCCGCCGCCGUAACAC
rnacentral:rRNA from 1 species